CAGGGAUUGCCCCAGUAACGGCGAGUGAAGCGGCAACAGCUCAAAUUUGAAAUCUGGCUCUCGGGCCCGAGUUGUAAUUUGUAGAGGAUGCUUUUGGUGAGGUGCCUUCCGAGUUUCCUGGAACGGGACGCCAUAGAGGGUGAGAGCCCCGUCUGGUUGGACACCGAUCCUCUGUAAAGCUCCUUCGACGAGUCGAGUAGUUUGGGAAUGCUGCUCUAAAUGGGAGGUAUAUGUCUUCUAAAGCUAAAUACCGGCCAGAGACCGAUAGCGCACAAGUAGAGUGAUCGAAAGAUGAAAAGAACUUUGAAAAGAGAGUUAAACAGUACGUGAAAUUGUUGAAAGGGAAGCGCUUGUGACCAGACUUGGGCUUGGUUGAUCAUCCGGGGUUCUCCCCGGUGCACUCUUCCGGCUCAGGCCAGCAUCAGUUCGCCCUGGGGGAUAAAGGCUUCGGGAAUGUGGCUCUCUCCGGGGAGUGUUAUAGCCCGCUGCGUAAUACCCUGUGGCGGACUGAGGUUCGCGCAUUCGCAAGGAUGCUGGCGUAAUGGUCAUCAGUGACCCGUCUUGAAACACGGACCAAGGAGUCGUCUUCGUAUGCGAGUGUUCGGGUGUCAAACCCCUACGCGAAAUGAAAGUGAACGCAGGUGAGAGCUUCGGCGCAUCAUCGACCGAUCCUGAUGUUAUCGGAUGGAUUUGAGUAAGAGCAUACGGGGCCGGACCCGAAAGAAGGUGAACUAUGCCUGUGUAGGGUGAAGCCAGAGGAAACUCUGGUGGAGGCUCGCAGCGGUUCUGACGUGCAAAUCGAUCGUCAAACAUGGGCAUGGGGGCGAAAGACUAAUCG
rnacentral:rRNA from 1 species